CUGUCAGAAUUUUGGCUCAUUUCUUGUGGAAGUCGUGAGAAAGGACCAGGAAUUGUGGGUGGUUGCUGAGGCUCUGGACGCCAUCUUUGAUGUGUUUGCAGACGAUCAUCUGGAUCUGUUGUCAUGGAGAUCAGAGUAACAAACAAACUCCAGACUAAAUGGUACAACAGCUGACAACUGCGAUUCAUCAACUGAAGAGAAACCUAGGAGACCACCUUCCUAUCAGCAUGACAGCAAGGACAAAUCUGAUGUACUUCAUCUAAUGCAGAUCUUGACCAGUAGAACUAAGACAUGUUUUUAUUCUCAAAUUGACUUAAAACUCAGCAGUAAUUUGGAUCAAAGAAAUAAUUAGUGUAGCAUGUCAAGUUCCAUAGUUUUCUGGUGUCAAGUCAGUUUUAUAUCAGGCAACACUGAUAUUUAGCAUUAAUAUUUUUUAUAAUUUUUUCCACAACUUUUAUGAUAGUCCCAUUAGAAGAUUUGUGUGUUAUCACAAGAGACUGAUGUAAAACUUGUUUUUGUUUUUUCUUCCAAAAUUAAAUAUCAAAAUGUGUGGGGCUGUAUUGUGUGUUUAAACUUUGACCCACUAACUGAGACAAUCAAGUGAUUAAAUUUCUUUUCUGGUUGCUCACCAGCAAAAUAAACUUUUUAAUUAUGGUUUUGUGAAGCUUAAGUUGUUGAAUUAUUGUCUACACCACAUUGAAUUGGUUUGAUUUGAUAAACUUUGUAUAACACUCUAAUAAUUGAAUAAAUUACACUGUUUUAAAUGGGUGUAGAUGUUAAUAAAAAAUUUU